rnacentral:rRNA from 1 species
UACGAAGGGGGCUAGCGUUGCUCGGAAUCACUGGGCGUAAAGGGCGCGUAGGCGGCGCAACAAGUCGGUUGUGAAAUCUCUGGGCUUAACCCAGAGCGGUCAACUGAUACUGUCGUGCUAGAGUGCGGAAGGGGCAACUGGAAUUCUCGGUGUAGCGGUGAAAUGCGUAGAUAUCGAGAGGAACACCUGCGGCGAAGGCGGGUUGCUGGGCCGACACUGACGCUGAGGCGCGAAAGCGUGGGGAGCGAACAGG